rnacentral:lncRNA from 1 species
GGAGUUCCUGCUGCGGUGCAACAGGAUUGGUGGCAUCUCUGGAUUGAUGGGAUGUAGGUUCGAUCCCUGGCCUGGCAUAGUGGGUUAAAGAUCCAGCGUUGCUGUAGCUGCUGCAUAGGUCGCGACUGUAGCUCAGGACUGAUCCCUGGCCUGGGAAAAGGGUUCUGCUCCUAGAGAAGUAGGGGGAGUGGAUAUUAGGGGAUGAUUAGCAGUCUGCCACCCCAUGUCACAUGGUAACUUGGAAAAUUACAUAAGAUCAUAAUACUUGGAACAGUCCGUGUUCACAAGGAAUAAAUCUUUUGCACACCUGAAUUUAUAACAGCGCUAUUAGCAUAGCCAACAUGUGGGAGCAAACCUCAUGUCUGUUGAUGACGGAAUGGAUAAACAAAACAUGGUAAAUACAUGUAAUGGAGUAUUGUUGAGCCUUAGGAAGGCUAUUCUGACAGAUGCUGUGAUAUGGAGGCAAGUUGAGGAUCUUAUGCUAAGUCAAUUAAGUCAGUCCCCAAAAGAAAAGUACUGCAUGAUUCUAUUUAUAUGAUUUACUCAGAACAGUCAAAAUCAUAGAGAUAGAAAACACAAGGGUGGUUGCUGGGGGCUAGAGGGAGGAGCAAUGGGGAGUUUUCAUUUAAUGGGAACAGAGUUUCAGUUUUACAAGAUGCGUCCAGCAGACAAACUAGCAGCCCUCACUAAACAUCAAGAAGGGUUUAUUCUGGGCACCUGAAGAAAGCCUAGGUGAGUGUUUUAAUGUGGGAUCUGGGGUGACUGUGAACUUGAGUAUCGUCUGAGAGAUACUAUAGGCCGACAGUAUACCCUCUUUGAUUAGCUAGGGAGGCAUAAUGGAGAGAGGGCAGAUAGCUUCCGUUUCUUUGCUCCUUGCUUCCUUCCUUUCUGCUGCACCUGCGGCAUCUGGAAGUUCUGAGGCUGGGGGUCACAUUGGAGACCUACACCAAAGCCAUAGCAACACUGCAACCUAUGCCACAACUUGCAACAACAUCAGAUCCUUAACCCACUGAUGGAGGCCAGGGAUUGAACCCACAUCCUCAUGGAGACUGUGUUGGGUUCUUAACCCACUAGGCCACAACAGGAACUCCUAGACCUAGUAUAUUUUAUUUAUUUAUUUGUUUAUUUAUUUAUUUAUUGACAUUUCUUGGGCCGCUCCCACGGCAUAUGGAGGUUCCCAGGCUAGGAGGUCUAAUUGGAGCUGUAGCUUCCAGCCUACGCCAGAGCCACAGCAACUCGUGGGAUCCGAGCCGCGUCUGCGACCCACACCACAGCUUAGGGCAAUGCCGGAUCCUUAACCCACUGAGCAAGGCCAGGGAUAGAACCGCAACCUCAUGGUUCCUAGUUGGAUUCGUUAACCACUGAGCCAUGACGGGAACUCCAAGACCUAGUAUAUUUUAAAAGCCAUGAGCAGUAAUUCAAUUCAAUUGAUGAACAGCAAUGUUGGUGAUAGGUCAUAUCAUCCUUCAUAAGAUGCUAAUGUUUCAGAUAUUUAAAAAAAUCUACUGGAAGGAUCUGAAGGAUAUGUGUGUAUUAUCAACAAAUGAAAAGACAGAAAGAAAAACAGUGAAUCUAAAAAAUCUUUUAGGCAAGAUCAUGAACUUCACGAGAUGCAGAGAAUGAUGUCAUUAAAUGGUAAAAAGAAACGUUUUUGAAUAUCUGGGCUGUAUCACAAAGAUUUUUUUUUAAGCUAAAGGAGGGAAAGAAAUGUAAGCUGACUUUUUUAAGAUAACUUUUACCAUCAGCAUUAUGUAUUACAAGGAAGAAAUUAUAUACACACAUUUUAUUUACAUUAAUUUCCAAAGAGAGGGGUAUCAAGAUUGGAUAUAUCCAGAUUAAUGAGCUAGGUUAUCUCUGAAAGGCCUCUAAAAUGAAAUUUCUUAUAUUGAAUCUCAUUUUCAGUGCUUUCCAUUACAUAAUUGGAGACCCAUUUUGAUUACAGACCUAUAAUUCAUUCAACAAAUAUUUACUCAUUUCCCAUAGUUUGCAGGGAAGAGUCCUGGAUAUGGGGCUACAACAGCAAACGAGAUGGAUGGGACUCACUUUCCCACAGCAUUUUGUCUCCUCUUCUGUUCAUUCAUUUGGCCCGUUCCUAUUGAGUGCUUAGUCUUCCCAGGCCCCAAGGUUCCAAGGAGGAAAAAGUCAGCCAGAGUCCCAGAACUAUGCUAAACAGAUUACUUUUUAGAAUAAUUUUCACGACACUGUGAUGUUGAUAUGAUAUGACAGAAGAGGAAACCGAGGCUCAGAAAUGGUGAAACAACUUGCCCAAAGUCGUAUAGUAAGUAAAUGGUUCAGGUUUCCAUGUUUCCAUCCAAGAGAAAAGAGACUUCUGGUAGGUAACUGGUGUAUAUUGAAUUCCUGCAAAACCAAGUAUCAGCUGUAGGUGGAGCUGUACACCACUUUCAGAACCCUGUUGUUUGGGGAGGAAUUUUGGAGCAGUGGAUGCCCCAGGCUGGUUGCAUUUUGGGAUGACCUGGAACACUAUAAAAAUAUGGCUUCCUAGGCACCACAGUCUCAGAGAUUCCAAAGCAGGGGGUCUGUGUGGGUCCGGGUGGUGGAGAGAUAUAGUUGGCAUUAGGCUGUAUUUGAGAAUUGCUGUCCUCAGAGGGCUUCUGGCUCACCUGGGUGGCCCCUGGGAGGCCUGCCACCAACUCAGCCUGAUGAGUUUGCUUGCCGUUCUCCCGGAGAAGCAGAAUUUGUUCGUUAAGUCUUUUCAUGAGACCAGAUGCCGUCCUUUUUCAUGAGACCAAACUUGAUGUGCUCAGAGUUAAGUUCCCCUCAGUUGGAGCUGCCUCUUUAGUGAACUGUAACAUUGGCGUUUUGUUUCCUUAACAAAGGAAAGUGCAAGACUCCAGAGGCUGAGGACAGUCAAGGAGUUUUGUUCUCCUUCUAGUUCUUAUUUAGUAAAAAUUCAGAAUCUGCCCUGUCUCUUCCUUCCAGACAGUGGUGUGGGAAAGUAGAGAAAUGUUUUUAUGUUUUGACUGGUUAGGGUUUUUUGCACAAACAAUUGUAGGACUCGGAUUGAAACCUAGCCUGGGAAGUAAAAGGGUGAUUGAAAAGCCCAGAGACCUCAGGAGGCUUAUCUCCAUGUGUUUACAUCUCAAAACCCGUGGUUAUAAAUUCCAAUUUAUUUCCUCUAUCCCCUGGAGACAUUUAUUUAAAUUCCAAGGGGUAAAAAAAAAUCCCAGGAUCUUCCCUUUCUUUUGCCAAAAGGAAUUCAUAUACUUUAAGGAAAAGAGGUUUCUCUCCCUCCCUCUGGAGUGUAGGGGGCAAUACGCAUAUACACGCCCAGAUUUCUUAAGUUCCCCUUGCCCCUGUGGUUUGAGCACCUCCCUGUGCGCGUGUCAGUGAGGCUUUCACUGCAUCACCCCUGAAGGAGGAAGAUUGGGACGUAAGAAAUGGAUGCAGUUAUUGCUGAAAGUAAAUAGUAAGGAUUGCCGCAACCAGAAAGCACAUGUUUUGCCUCCAGGAUAAUAUAAAGAAAUAUAGGUAUUAAAAACCUCUCAGCUGGGAGUCUGAAGAGUGCUAUAUUUCACUCAGUGAUAGGAGUAAACAGCAGAUGGGUUGCCUAGACUUAUGCAGUCAAACCUUUUCAUACACGACGGUGCAGGCUCUGAUGCUGAGACUGAGGAUUCUCAGAGAGGACAUCGUCUCCAUUUUCCAUUUCAAUCAGCAAAGAAAUAAAAGGCCCAUGAUAAGACCGAAUCACUAUCAUCCUUUGCCAUUUUAUAUUUAUUUCUACUCUUUUGGGGGGGCCACACCCAUGGGAUCGAGCCCUAGCCACAGCAGUGACCCCAUCUACUUCUGUGACAAUGGGAGGUCCUUAACCUGCUAACUCACAAGGGAACGCCUAUAUUUAUUUUUCUCAUGGACCAUACAGAGGUGUGCGGGUACGUGUUUAACAACCAGCUCUUGGAGUGGGGUGGGGUCUUGAUUUACAGUGUUUGCCAAUAUCUUUUGUGUAAAUCCUCCCACCAUGUUGAUUACAGGCUGCCAGCACGUGGCAACCAGCUUGCAAAAUUCCUGAACAUUUUAGCAAUAGGCUCUCCCAAGCUGAUGUGGGCCCAGCUGUUCCAUACUAUUGGUUUAUGGCUAAAACAAACAAAACAAAACAAAAUGGGACCUAUACAUCAAAAGAGCUAGCCAUAAAGGAGAAUUCUAAGUAAUGUAUGUGGACAGUCCCCCACUGCAGAAGUUAGAGUGGAAUUGCUGCACAGUCCCCGUCCACCACUGAGAGUGGGCUAUACUCAGGGACUCUUUGCAAAGAAUAGCAUAGGGCAAGAGAGUAACAGCAACUUCACAGUGGAGAAACCUGACAAAAACUUCCUUAACCCAAUAAUGAAAGUGAACCUCACUCGGUCAUAUGACAGGAUGUCAUGCGAAUGUCUUACCCUGCCUGAUUUGAUGUGAUGAGAAGAGUAAUUCCUAUCUGUACAAAACCCCCAUAACCUCAGGCUCAUCAUGAGAAAAACACCAGGCAAACGUAGGUUAUAGGACACUCAGUAGAAUAUCUGACCAGUCUUGCUCAACACUCUCAAGGUCGUGACCACCAAGGAAAGACCGAGAAAGGGUCACAGACCAGAGGACACUGGGAAGAUGUGACAGCUAAAUACAGUGUGGCUCUUGGGUUGGAUUUGGGAACAAUAAAGGAUAUUGACAUGAAAAAAAAAAAAAAAAGGAUGAAAUCAAAUAAAGUCAAAGUCUACAGUUCAGUUAACAGCAACGCACCAAUGUCAGUGUCUUAAUUUUGACAAAUAUAGUAUGAAAAUGUAAGAUGUUACCAGUGGGUGAAACUGACUGAAGGGUGUUUAGGAACUCUGUGUAAUAUCUUUGCAACUUCUCGGAAAAUUUAAAAUUAUUGGAAAGUGAAACCAUUUAUUGAGGUUUUGAAAAUGCAAGCAUUAGAGGAGAGGGAGGAGAGUUCCUGUCGGUGGCUCAGUAGUUCCUCAAACCAACUAGGAUCUUUGAGGAUGCAGGUUUGAUCCCUGGCUCAGUGAGUUAAGGAUCCAGCCUUGCUGUGAGCUGUGGUGUAGGUCACAGACACCGCUCAGAUCCCAAGUUGCUGUGGCUGUGGUGUAGGCCGGCGGCUAUAGCUCUGAUUCGAGCCCUAGCUUGGGAACCUCCAUAUGCCUCA